rnacentral:lncRNA from 1 species
AUGGACACGUUUUCGAUCAAAGCAGGAGUGCAUGGUCUUGUAAUAAGGAUGAUCACGAGGAAACAAUAAGUAGUAGGCUACUAAUGUACAAUACAAUCCCCGUACAAAACGAGUCCACAUGACCUUUUCAUUUAUUAUAUAAAUAUCAACUUUAAUGUUUACUGUAAGAAUAUAAAACAAUUUAAUUUUGGAUUCUGUUUUUUUACAAACACAUAUACAGUACAUUAAAACACAGUAGUCUCUCAGCAGGACUCAAUACAUGUUGCAGUUCUGUUCGCUCAUAACGUCAUGUUCUGAUUCCAUAGGUCCCAUGUAGACCUGACACGCAGUCACUUGGAAGCCGAGAAAAUAACGAUCGAUUGCUUGUUCAUUCUAAAGCAUUUAUUUAGAUUCUAUUCCAAAGGAGUGUCUCUUCCGUUGUUAUUGUGGACUAGUGUGUAUGAUUGUGUUUAAUAGGUAGCGACCCAUAUUCUCGAGGAUAUGGAGGAUUAGUUGGAAAACACCUGAUUGAGAAAAGGGGCAGCAUUUCUAUUAUAGAAAUCACUUCAAUUUGAAGUACAACGCUCUGAAUAACAGCAAUAAUUCGACAAUAUCUGCUUCCAUAAGCAUAAACACACCAAAAUAAUAUAGGGAAGGAAGGGUCCCAUUAUUCAAAGCUUGAAUCCAAGGCUACAAGGCCUUUAAGUUGGGUUAAAAAGUAAACAAAACAAAAAUAAAAUGAUUUUGGAUACAAACCAGUAUUUAAUCCGUUUUAAUUUGCAUAAAGUCGCUAUUUUUUGUCUGAGUGUGAACAGUCCUUUUAAACGAAACUCUGUUCGUUUCUCUUCUUCAUUGUUAAGCGUUUCUGGGCAAAUGAACACAAAGGUAGUUAGAGAGCGUUUCUUUUUGCUGCGAGGAUUCUCCAAGCGCGAGACGCGUUGGGGGAGGGGACUGCUACUGUCUAUAGGCACAAUUUCUCUCCUCUCUUUCUUUUUAACAAUACACGGAUUUAUUACAACACAUUGAUAAACGAGGUAGCCAAAUGUAUUAGGCGCGAUAGUUGGACAGUUUGAAGUUAAAUAUUGCGACUCUUUAGGAAUAAUAAAAAGUAGUUUGUCUUCAUAAUGCGGGGGCGGGGUAUUGUGUUGUUAAUAAUGAAAACAUGCAUUUGAUGAUGAUUAAUCCUGUUUUCAUUUGGCCUAAAAUUGCGCAACAUAUUUUUUGAUCACAGUUUUGUAGCAUUAAGUUAGGUUACAUUGAAUGAGAAAAUAUCCAACUACGACGAGAUUGAGAGCAGAGGAUAUAUAUAUAUUUUAGAAGGAACAUUUCCCCGCCCACUGGUCUCCUGCGCCGUUACCACUUCUCCUCUCUAUGUGUCCCCCUCCCCAACUAAUCCUCGCCAAGUUAGUUUCACCUCACUUUUUCACUCUCUGUCAUCUGCCAAAGUCCCAGAUUCAAAACUUUAAGGCAUGGGAGCUGCGUUAUCCUUUCCAGUCCCCGUUUCGUGAUUUUAGUACAUCCAUACAGAUCGAUCCCCGUCAACUGAGUCAAGUGGUCGGCAAUGAGCUCCAGUCCUUUGUCUGUAAUCCGCACAC